UCGCAGUCUCUUGCAUGCUCAAAAGGGUGUGAGUUUUGUAUUUUCAGCUUAAGCUUUCAAUACUCAUAACAUACAAGUAAUACGAGAUAUUUGAAAAUUUAUUACUGACUAGAAAAGGCAUAUAAUCACUCCAACUACCUAGAACUGGGAGACACACAGUUGUAGUCCAAUAUCCAAGCAAUAGAUUGGCAUACUAUGCUAGUCAGAA